AACGAACGCUGGCGGCAUGCCUAACACAUGCAAGUCGAACGAGACCUUCGGGUCUAGUGGCGCACGGGUGCGUAACGCGUGGGAACCUGCCCUUAGGUUCGGAAUAACUCCCCGAAAUGGGUGCUAAUACCGGAUAAUGUCUUCGGACCAAAGAUUUAUCGCCUUUGGAUGGGCCCGCGUUGGAUUAGCUAGUUGGUAGGGUAAAAGCCUACCAAGGCGACGAUCCAUAGCUGGUCUGAGAGGAUGAUCAGCCACACUGGGACUGAGACACGGCCCAGACUACUACGGGAGGCAGGAGUGGGGAAUAUAGGAAAAUGGGCGAAAGCCUGAACCAGCAAUGCCGCGUGAGUGAUGAAGGCCUGAGGGUUGUAAAGCUCUUUUACCCGGGAUGAUAAUGACAGUACCGGGAGAAUAAGCACCGGCUAACUCCGUG
rnacentral:rRNA from 1 species